AUUGAACGCUGGCGGCAGGCCUAACACAUGCAAGUCGAGCGGAUGACGGGAGCUUGCUCCUUGAUACAGCGGCGGACGGGUGAGUAAUGCCUAGGAAUCUGCCUGGUAGUGGGGGACAACGUUUCGAAAGGAACGCUAAUACCGCAUACGUCCUACGGGAGAAAGCAGGGGACCUUCGGGCCUGGCGCUAUCAGAUGAGCCUAGGUCGGAUUAGCUAGUAGGUGAGGUAAUGGCUCACCUAGGCGACGAUCCGUAACUGGUCUGAGAGGAUGAUCAGUCACACUGGAACUGAGACACGGUCCAGACUCCUACGGGAGGCAGCAGUGGGGAAUAUUGGACAAUGGGCGAAAGCCUGAUCCAGCCAUGCCGCGUGUGUGAAGAAGGUCUUCGGAUUGUAAAGCACUUUAAGUUGGGAGGAAGGGCAGUAAGUUAAUACCUUGCUGUUUUGACGUUACCGACAGAAUAAGCACCGGCUAACUCUGUGCCAGCCGCCGCAGUAACAC
rnacentral:rRNA from 1 species